GAUGAACGCUGGCGGCGUGCUUAACACAUGCAAGUCGAACGAAGCACCUUGAUUUGAUUCUUCGGAUGAAGAUCUUGGUGACUGAGUGGCGGACGGGUGAGUAACGCGUGGGUAACCUGCCUCAUACAGGGGGAUAACAGUUAGAAAUGACUGCUAAUACCGCAUAAGACCACAGCACCGCAUGGUGCAGGGGUAAAAACUCCGGUGGUAUGAGAUGGACCCGCGUCUGAUUAGGUAGUUGGUGGGGUAACGGCCUGCCAAGCCGACGAUCAGUAGCCGACCUGAGAGGGUGACCGGCCACAUUGGGACUGAGACACGGCCCAAACUCCUACGGGAGGCAGCAGUGGGGAAUAUUGCACAAUGGGGGAAACCCUGAUGCAGCGACGCCGCGUGAGCGAUGAAGUAUUUCGGUAUGUAAAGCUCUAUCAGCAGGGAAGAAAAUGACGGUACCUGACUAAGAAGCACCGGCUAAAUACGUG
rnacentral:rRNA from 1 species